rnacentral:rRNA from 1 species
GAUGAACGCUCGCUACAGGCUUAACACAUGCAAGUCGCGGGGCAGCAUGGGGGUUGCUUGCAAUCCCCGAUGGCGACCGGCGCACGGGUGAGUAACGCGUAUCCAACCUGCCCUUCACCACGGGAUAACCCGGCGAAAGUCGGACUAAUACCGUAUGUUGUCCAUUGACGGCCUCCGAUUUGGACGAAAGGUUUGGCGGUGAAGGAUGGGGAUGCGUCCGAUUAGCUGGACGGCGGGGUGACGGCCCACCGUGGCGACGAUCGGUAGGGGUUCUGAGAGGAAGGUCCCCCACACUGGAACUGAGACACGGUCCAGACUCCUACGGGAGGCAGCAGUGAGGAAUAUUGGUCAAUGGGCGUAAGCCUGAACCAGCCAAGUAGCGUGCAGGAUGACGGCCCUAUGGGUUGUAAACUGCUUUUAUGCGGGGAUAAAGUGGCCCACGUGUGGGUUUUUGCAGGUACCGCAUGAAUAAGGACCGGCUAAUUCCGU